AGAGUUUGAUCCUGGCUCAGGAUGAACGCUAGCGGCAGGCCUAACACAUGCAAGUCGAGGGGUAACAGGAGAAAGCUUGCUUUUUUGCUGACGACCGGCGCACGGGUGCGUAACGCGUAUACAAUCUACCUUUUGCUGAGGGAUAGCCCAGAGAAAUUUGGAUUAAUACCUCAUAGUAUGAUAACUUGGCAUCGAGAAAUCAUUAAAGGUUACGGCAAGAGAUGAGUAUGCGUUCUAUUAGCUAGAUGGUGUGGUAACGGCACACCAUGGCAACGAUAGAUAGGGGCCCUGAGAGGGGGAUCCCCCACACUGGUACUGAGACACGGACCAGACUCCUACGGGAGGCAGCAGUGAGGAAUAUUGGGCAAUGGAGGCAACUCUGACCCACCCAUGCCGCGUGCAGGAAGACUGCCCUAUGGGUUGUAAACUGCUUUUAUACAGGAAGAAACACCGCUACGUGUAGCGGCUUGACGGUACUGUAAGAAUAAGGAUCGGCUAACUCCGUGCCAGCAGCCGCGGUAAUACGGAGGAUCCAAGCGUUAUCCGGAAUCAUUGGGUUUAAAGGGUCCGUAGGUGGAUAAUUAAGUCAGAGGUGAAAUCCUGCAGCUCAACUGUAGAAUUGCCUUUGAUACUGGUUAUCUUGAGUCAUUAUGAAGUGGUUAGAAUGUGUAGUGUAGCGGUGAAAUGCAUAGAUAUUACACAGAAUACCGAUUGCGAAGGCAGAUCACUAAUAAUGUACUGACACUGAUGGACGAAAGCGUGGGGAGCGAACAGGAUUAGAUACCCUGGUAGUCCACGCCGUAAACGAUGGUCACUAGCUGUUUGGACUUCGGUCUGAGUGGCUAAGCGAAAGUGAUAAGUGACCCACCUGGGGAGUACGUUCGCAAGAAUGAAACUCAAAGGAAUUGACGGGGGCCCGCACAAGCGGUGGAGCAUGUGGUUUAAUUCGAUGAUACGCGAGGAACCUUACCAGGGCUUAAAUGUAGAGUGACAGGUCUAGAGAUAGAUUUUUCUUCGGACACUUUACAAGGUGCUGCAUGGUUGUCGUCAGCUCGUGCCGUGAGGUGUCAGGUUAAGUCCUAUAACGAGCGCAACCCCUGUUGUUAGUUGCCAGCGAGUCAAGUCGGGAACUCUAACAAGACUGCCGGUGCAAACCGUGAGGAAGGUGGGGAUGACGUCAAAUCAUCACGGCCCUUACGUCCUGGGCUACACACGUGCUACAAUGGUAGGUACAGAGAGCAGCCACUGCGUGAGCAGGAGCGAAUCUAUAAAACCUAUCACAGUUCGGAUUG
rnacentral:rRNA from 1 species